rnacentral:rRNA from 1 species
UACGAAGGGGGCUAGCGUUGUUCGGAUUUACUGGGCGUAAAGCGCACGUAGGCGGCUCUUUAAGUCAGAGGUGAAAUCCCAAGGCUCAACCUUGGAACUGCCUUUGAUACUGGGGAUCUCGAGUCCGGGAGAGGUGAGUGGAACUGCGAGUGUAGAGGUGAAAUUCGUAGAUAUUCGCAAGAACACCAGUGGCGAAGGCGGCUCACUGGCCCGGUACUGACGCUGAGGAGCGAAAGCGUGGGGAGCAAACAGG